rnacentral:rRNA from 1 species
GAUGAACGCUGGCGGCGUGCCUAAUACAUGCAAGUCGAGCGAACGGACGAGAAGCUUGCUUCUCUGAUGUUAGCGGCGGACGGGUGAGUAACACGUGGAUAACCUACCUAUAAGACUGGGAUAACUUCGGGAAACCGGAGCUAAUACCGGAUGAUAUUUUGAACCGCAUGGUUCAAAAGUGAAAGACGGUCUUGCUGUCACUUAUAGAUGGAUCCGCGCUGCAUUAGCUAGUUGCUAAGGUAACGGCUUACCAAGGCAACGAUGCAUAGCCGACCUGAGAGGGUGAUCGGCCACACUGGAACUGAGACACGGUCCAGACUCCUACGGGAGGCAGCAGUAGGGAAUCUUCCGCAAUGGGCGAAAGCCUGACGGAGCAACGCCGCGUGAGUGAUGAAGGUCUUCGGAUCGUAAAACUCUGUUAUUAGGGAAGAACAUAUGUGUAAGUAACUGUGCACAUCUUGACGGUACCUAAUCAGAAAGCCACGGCUAACUACGUG